rnacentral:rRNA from 1 species
UACGGAGGAUGCAAGCGUUAUCCGGAUUCAUUGGGUUUAAAGGGUGCGUAGGUGGGCUAUUAAGUCAGUGGUGAAAUCCUGCAGCUUAACUGCAGAACUGCCGUUGAUACUGAUAGUCUUGAGUUUGGUUAAGGUAGGCGGAAUGUGUAAUGUAGCGGUGAAAUGCUUAGAUAUUACACAGAACACCAAUUGCGUAGGCAGCUUACUGAGCCGACACUGACGCUGAGGCACGAAAGCGUGGGGAUCAAACAGGAUUA